UACGUAGGGUGCAAGCGUUGUCCGGAAUUAUUGGGCGUAAAGAGCUCGUAGGCGGUCUGUCGCGUCGGCUGUGAAAACUCGGGGCUCAACUCCGAGCCUGCAGUCGAUACGGGCAGACUAGAGUGCUGUAGGGGAGACUGGAAUUCCUGGUGUAGCGGUGAAAUGCGCAGAUAUCAGGAGGAACACCGGUGGCGAAGGCGGGUCUCUGGGCAGUAACUGACGCUGAGGCGCGAAAGCGUGGGGAGCAAACAGG
rnacentral:rRNA from 1 species